rnacentral:misc_RNA from 1 species
AACGGUCUAUACCUGCGGUACCUGCGGAGGGAUCAUUAACGAAUAACUAUGGUGUUGGUUGUAGCUGGCUCCUCGGAGCAAUGUGCACGCCCGCCAUUUUUAUCUUUCCACCUGUGCACCGACUGUAGGUCUGGAUACCUCUCGCCUCCGGGCGGAUGCGAGGGUUGCUCGUAAGGGCUUCCCUUGAACUUCCAGGCUCUACGUCUUUUUACACACCCCAAUAGUAUGAUGCAGAAUGUA